rnacentral:rRNA from 1 species
UACGUAGGUGGCAAGCGUUGUCCGGAUUUACUGGGCGUAAAGAGCGCGCAGGCGGUCGUUCAAGUCGCGUGUGAAAGCCCCCGGCUCCAAGUGGGAGGGUCACGCGAUACUGAUCGACUCGAAGGCAGGAGAGGGAAGUGGAAUUCCCGGUGUAGUGGUGAAAUUCGUAGAUAUGGGGGAGGAACACCGGUGGCGAAGGCGGCCACCUGGACGGUAACUGACGCUGAGACGCGAAAGCGUGGGGAGCAAACAGG